GCUCAGAUUGAACGCUGGCGGAAUGCUUUACACAUGCAAGUCGAACGGCAGCACGGGGGCAACCCUGGUGGCGAGUGGCGAACGGGUGAGUAAUACAUCGGAACGUGCCCAGUCGUGGGGGAUAACGUAGCGAAAGCUACGCUAAUACCGCAUACGAUCUCUGGAUGAAAGCGGGGGACCGCAAGGCCUCGCGCGAUUGGAGCGGCCGAUGGCAGAUUAGGUAGUUGGUGGGGUAAAGGCUCACCAAGCCGACGAUCUGUAGCUGGUCUGAGAGGACGACCAGCCACACUGGGACUGAGACACGGCCCAGACUCCUACGGGAGGCAGCAGUGGGGAAUUUUGGACAAUGGGCGAAAGCCUGAUCCAGCCAUUCCGCGUGCAGGAUGAAGGCCCUCGGGUUGUAAACUGCUUUUGUACGGAACGAAACGGUCUGAGUUAAUACCUCGGGCUAAUGACGGUACCGUAAGAAUAAGCACCGGCUAACUACGUGCCAGCAGCCGCGGUAAUACGUAGGGUGCGAGCGUUAAUCGGAAUUACUGGGCGUAAAGCGUGCGCAGGCGGUUAUGUAAGACAGGUGUGAAAUCCCCGGGCUUAACCUGGGAACUGCAUUUGUGACUGCAUAGCUAGAGUACGGUAGAGGGGGAUGGAAUUCCGCGUGUAGCAGUGAAAUGCGUAGAUAUGCGGAGGAACACCGAUGGCG
rnacentral:rRNA from 1 species